UACGAAGGGUGCUAGCGUUGUUCGGAAUUAUUGGGUGUAAGGGGUACGUAGGCGGCUUUGUAAGUCAAUUGUGAAAGCCCCAGGCUCAACCUGGGAAUUGCAAUCGAAACUGCUUUGCUUGAGUUUGGUGGGGGAUGGUGGAAUUCCUAGUGUAGGGGUGAAAUCCGUAGAUAUUAGGAGGAAUACCGGUGGCGAAAGCGACCAUCUACGCCAAUACUGACGCUAAGGUACGAAAGCGUGGGGAGCAAACAGG
rnacentral:rRNA from 1 species